UCUCCGUCGUCGUCGUCGUCCCCGCGAUCCAAACCCUAACCCUCUCCUCCCCCCUUCCCCCAUGGCGAUCUCCUCCUCCUCCACCAAAUCGGUCACCGUCCCCGCUUUCCUCCUCAUCUCCGCCGCCGCCGCCGCCUUCGUCCUCUUCCUCCUCCUCACCUCCCUCGCCCCCGCCCCACCGUGCUCCUGCGCCCACUCCUCCACCACCACCACCGUCACCACCACCACCACCACCUCCCUCAACCCUACCCCCGUCUCCCCCACCUCCGACGACCUCUCGUGGCUCCGAUCCCAGCUCGCCCUCAACUCCCUCGGCGACCCCCCCUCCUCCCCGGCCGCGUGGCGCGCCCUCCGCAAGGGCAUCAACCCCCGCACCCGCGCCGAGCAACUCGACGAUCUUCGGAGAUUCAAAGGCAUUUCCCACUAUGAAGAUGUUGAUGCUGCAAACCACACUGCUCUGCCAUGUCCUGGCGAGCUACUCGUGGAGGAGCACCAUAGUAACUACGGCGAGCCGUGGGCUGGUGGCCGAGACGUGUUUGAGUUCCUAGCAACUAAGUCCAACCUCGCUUCUGCUGAUUAUGUUCUUGAGAUCGGUUGUGGAACGCUUCGUGUAGGCCAACACUUUAUUCGGUACCUUAAUCCUGGCCGAUUCCAUUGCCUCGAGCGCGAUGAGCUCUCCCUCAUGGCCGCACUUCGAUAUGAGUUGCCUUCUCAGGGUCUUCUUUACAAAAGGCCGCUUAUUGUAAAAGGCGAGGAUAUGGAUUUUAGUAGAUUUGGGAGUGGAAUUUCGUAUGAUCUGAUCUAUGCGAGCGCUGUAUUCCUUCAUAUGCCUGAUAAGCUUGUUUGGGUCGGGCUUGAGAGGUUGGCAGGGAAGCUUAAACCGCAGAAAGGUCGGAUCUUUGUGUCACAUAACAUUAAGUUCUGUUCGAGAUUGGGUGGGGAGGAAUGUACAAGGAGACUUGCAGAAUUGGGGCUGGAGUAUGUGGGGAAGCAAACACAUGAUAGUUUGCUAUUUAACCAUUAUGAGAUUUGGUUCGAGUUUAGAAGAGCUAAAGCUUAAAUUUGAAUUUUAUGGUUACUAGAUAAAGGGAGUUUUGAGGAUCUAAAGCAUGAAAAGAUCUUCACUGAGCAUUUUGGAGCAACCAUUUUUGGAUUUUGGAGCUCUGCCACAAAGAUAAAAGUCACAGUGUGUGGUGGUUUUGUGGGCUUUUGCCUCUGCAACUAGGUUGUUCAACAUUGAGUUCCUUUAGGGCUGCACAUUUUGAUAUCCAGCAGGAAAAACGUGCUCGAAGCUUCGGCAACUAUUUACACAUCACGCUUGGUUUCGUAAAGGAUGUCGAUGUCCAGUGAUGAAAUACAGAAGAUUUAACUUUCUUGAAAUCAUUCUUUGCAAAUAUUAGUAGAUGCAUACAAUUUUCACGUAGUAUCUUAUUUCUAUGAUUUUUUACAAGAAUAUCAAAAUUUCAUCAAAUUUCUUUCUCUAAUAUUGAGAACACUUACUGUUGAGAUGAUGCCUUGUCGCUCCUACAGGUUUAUUCUGAGUCCUUUCUCUGGUUUAAUAAUUUUCUUUUCUUAUUACUGAUAUAUGUUGGAUAAUCAUAUGAUGUGCAUAUAAUUUCCUGGGCAUUAGUAUGAAAUCUUCUUUUAACUUUUGACUUAUCUUUACUUUUUGUAUUUCUUUACCUGGCUAGUUGUUAAUUUUAGCUAUCUUAACAGUUUUAAGUGGCUCAAGGAAACCAUUAUUUGGUGUCAAUAUCUAGCAAGGUGAUUCCAGUCACUGAAACUUGUUAUUUUUUUUUUUUUUUUUUGGGUUGGUUGAAGGAUGAUUUAGCUAAAAGUUCUUUACCGGGAACUAUAAGCCCUAGCAUUUUCUUUGUCGGGAUGAAGAGAAUGUAACUCAUCUUUCCAUAAUGAGAAUGUGAAUCUCUUAGUUGCUUGA